UCCGGUAUGGUGUAACGGCUAACAUUGCCGCCUUUCAUAUGAUUGCGCGCGGCAGCUCGGGGUUCGAUUCCCCGUACCGGAG